CUGGACCUCCAGAACAUGGACCAGGUCCAACACACCGUCCUCAUCCUGGUUUUAGCUCUACUCUGCUUCAAAGGUUUUACAGAAGGGAACGAUGUAAAGCAGACUCGGAUUCUGUGGAAAGAGAUGGGACAAACAGCCACCAUGAACUGCAGUCACACUAAGGGUGCAAGCUACUUCCAGAUGUACUGGUACCGACAGCUGUCAGGACAGAACAUGGAGCAGAUGGUGUUCACGACUACUUCUAAUACUGACUUUGAACCAGACUUCAGAAACGACAGGUUCUCCACCACCAAACCUGACGCUGACAGUGGAACGUUGACGGUGCGGAACCUGGAGUACGCAGAUACAGGCGUGUACUUCUGUUCUAUUCUCUUUUUUCACACAUCACUCCUGACACUUUAGUCCAGUCGUCCCCUAGAAACAUGGCGG